AUGCCUAUUAGAGCCUCCCUCUACGCGGAUGACGCAACGGUUUUCCUUGCGCCCAUCAAAACCGAGGUCAAGUUUUUUGCGGAUACACUUGCACAAUUUGGGGAGGUAACGGGGCUAACAAUGGACUGCUUUAAAAGUCUUGUUGCCCCCAUUCGAUGUGACUCCUUGGAUCUUGAUGAUAUUCUCAGCUCCUUCCCGGCCAACCGCACCUCCUUCCCAAUGAAAUAUCUUGGGCUGUCGUUGUCAACCAAGAGGCUCAAAACAAUCCAUUUUCAGUCUCUGGAAGAUAAGAUUGCUGCACAACUUUCGCCUUGGAUGGGCAAGCAUGUUGCGCAGCCGGGUCGGGCCGUGUUGGUCAAGUCGAUCAUCAUGGCAAUUGCCAUUUACUACUUGAUGGCGCUAGACCUCCCUGCUGAGGUUAUGAAGAAGAUUGACUCCCUUAGGCGUGCCUAUCUUUGGGCGAGUUGUGACAAGGUCACAGGUGGAAAAUGCAAGAUCAACUGCGAACAGGUGUGCAAAUCAAAAGUACAUGGUGGGUUGGGCAUUCUAAAUCUGGAAAAUUUGCAGGGGCCCUUCGAAUUCGUUGGCUGUGGCUGCUUGGAUGGAUCCGGCCAAACCUUGGGUCAACUUGGGAAACCCUUGUGUACAAAAGGACAAAGAUAUUUUCGCCUCUGCCACAAAGGUUGUUGUUGGAGACAGUCGUCGAGCCUCGUUUUGGGAUUCUUCCUGGUUGGAUGGUAUAAGACCCAAGGAUAUCGCGCCCAGGAUCUUUGA
rnacentral:rRNA from 1 species